UGUUACAUAAUAAAUACAUCACUAUAUAUUCAUUGGCAACUUCAACCAUUAUUAACAUAAAUUAAAGUCACUCAGACUACAUUUAUUGACAUCUAAUCAACAAUUUAUUGCUGCAUUUAUACACCAAACAGCAGUCUAUAAAAUAGCAUGCAUACACCCAUUUCUAAGUAUCCUUAUCACCAUAAUAUUCAAUUGCAUCAACCAUGAUCGACCAGUAAUAACAGAGCAG
rnacentral:lncRNA from 1 species